UAACUGGCAAAUGGUAUGUCUUUCUUUAUUUGACUCACAGCAGGUCAUUGUGUUAUUUAUAUUUAACAUGUAAAUCACCUUUAUAGUUUCACUGUCUUUUGUUAGACGUAGGCUGUGUCUAUUUCAGUGCACCAUCAUCUGCUUCCUCCCAUAAUGAGAAAACUUCCUCUUUUCUCAGUGAAGUGGUCAGAGAUAUUUCCUCCCGACCCUUAACCUACUCAUCACGUGGGUUUAGACAAAUCACACAAAUUCGUACGAGUGAGGUCGUGAGAUAGCAUUGAAGAGUGAGUCUCUCUGUGAGGAGCUUCAUGAGGGCCAGAACACACACCGACUGAAGUCACACACUCAUGUCAGCGUCUGAAGCUUCAUCCACACUCUUCUGCUGCCGUUGGGCUCUUCUGGAAACUGGACUUUAGAGAAAUGAUGCUGAUCUUUGGACUGAUGCUGCUGCAAACUGCUGCAUGUGUGGAGUUUACCUGCAGGUUUGGUCAGCCGGAUCCCUGUUACGCUGCUCUGGGACACAAACUCAAUCUGCAGAUGCUGGAUGAUAGAAUAUAUAAACUGAAGAUAAUAAAGAGAAUAAACAACAACCAAGAUGAUUCAUUUUGUAAAGUAAAGAAUGACACUAAAAGUAAGGCCGAAUGUGAUCUUUAUAAUAACAGACCUGAAGUGACAUUCAUUAAUGGGACUCUGAUAAUAAACCGUGUGAUCAGAGCAGAUUCAGGGAAUUACACUUUACACAUCGAUCACUCAGACGGCACAGUAACAUCUGCAGAUCUUCAAGUGAAAGUUGAAGCUCCUAUUGGCUCAGUGGAAGUGUCACUCACCUGCUCCUCCAGUGGGGGGAAGUCCGUGUCCUGCUCUUCUGACGGGGAUUCGCUCGUCUACAGCUGGACUCUGAAUGGAGAUCCACUGACGGAUACAAACACCAACAUUCAUCUGAAUGAGACGACUGAAGGAGUCGUCAUCUGUAGUGUGAAGAACCACGUCAGUGACGGACAUAAGGGCAUUAGUCUCGACUGUUCUGGAACAACUACUGUAGCAGUGACCUCUCAUUUGACCUCUACACUGACCAGUAGCACACAGACACCUGGAGAUGGUACUAGUUUGAAAGAACACGCUACAGGAAACAUGAUGGAUUGGUUUUGUUUCUAAUUGUUGUUUUCAGUGUGUUCAGAGCCUGUGGAGUUUGUGCUGGUCUGGUGUUUUCAGAUGAUGUUUCUGUUUGGUCUGUUAGGAGGUUUUCACAUCUACAUGAGACGCACGUCAGAAAGAAAACAGGACGAUCAUAAACUGAGAAUGAGGAGAUUUAGAGAAGAUCAUGAACACACAGCAGAAGAUUCACGAGUCCAGCAGCAGAUCUCAGCACAGCUAUGAGAAAUCUCCUGCUUUUGCUUUCCGGUUUCUACGAUGUUUUCAGGCGACGCCAACAAUUGUGAAGGUUUCAGAUGCCAAACCUGUCCUAUAAUAUUUUAAUAUGAUCCUCCUCAUGUUGUAAACGUUAAAAGCACAAGGUGUAAUAACUGCCUAACAUAUACGCUGUGUCCUCUGAACUGAAAACAUGAAGUUAUCUAACUAACAUGUACUAUAUAAUAGCUGUAUAUUACUGUGACACACUCUUCUCUGGCUGAGAACAGAAUACUUUUGUGACAUUAAAACAAGUAUUUUCUGUAAAGCUGCUAUGAAACAUGUUUUGUGAAAAGUGCUAGAAAAAUGAACUUGAAUUUAAAGUUGUUGUUCUUGAUCGUGGCGUUUUGCUAUCCGUGCUUUUACACUUCUGCUUGCAUUUGCAGGGUUUUUUAAAGAUGUUUAACACAUUUAGCCACAUGCGUGUGAUGAAGCAGACCUCGAGUCUACUGCGGACAUG